AUGCUCAAAUUAAAGUUAGUAAUUAGUAUGGCUAUGCUAGUUUGUCAUAAGACAAUUUAGCGCUAUGUUAAGCAAUCGUAAGUGGACUAAUGUAGUAGUCACACCUAUCUGAGGCCGGUCAAUAAAACUAUAGGCAAAUAAACACAAGUUAGAGAUCAUGACUAAGCGCUAUGUUAAGCAAUCGUAAGUGGACUAAUGUAGUAGUCACACCUAUCUGAGGCCGGUCAAUAAAACUAUAGGCAAAUAAACACAAGUUAGAGAUCAUGACUAGUAAGCCAAGCUCCAAAAACUUACCAUGCCAAAAGAAA
rnacentral:lncRNA from 1 species